rnacentral:lncRNA from 1 species
AUGGAAAAUAAACGGCUCGAACUCUUCCAGGUUGCGUCUUCGUGGAGACCAACGGCCAAACGGAAAAGUCAGCCCUCUUGGGGUUGUCCAGUGUCACGCAUUUGGCUCCUGAAGGUGUGGGGCAGUUCCCGUGGGCCACCUUGGGAAGGGCCCCAGGUGGGUGGGCAGGUCAUUAGCAAGGCUGGCCCAGAUCUGGGGGGAAAUCUGCAAAACAGUGCCUUUAUCUGCAGAGAACAAUUGAUGGGGUUGUCUUUCCUCCUUUUCAGUGCACAAAGAAGACGGCUUUGGAGCAAGAAUUUGGAAUAUGCAUUUAAGUUGUCGUGCUUUGCAUUGGAAACCCAUGGGCAAUUAAAAUAAGCAUGCCCUGUAGUAUUUUCUGUCCUUUUCUUAUGUGUGAUUCCUGCAAGUCAGAGGGGGCCGGAGCCUCUUCAGUAGUUUGGAAACUUGUUUUGAAAUUGCCACCAAGCCGAUUUUUUUUUUUUUUUUUUUUUUUUUCCUGUGGGUGAAGUUUCCUUCCCCGGUUCACUCACUCCCCCUUUCCCCACCCCCUCACUGGAAUUGUAUUGACAUCUUUGAGAGAUCAAAGGAAGUAAAUGGUGCUUGCUGUAUGCUCUGUUUUUCCAUACUGUAGUGUGAAUCCUGAGAUUUGAGCUUUUUUCUGGUUAAAUCUCUUGGUACCAAAAGUGUGGAAAAUAAAAAGUUCAUUAACUUAAGGAAGCUUUAGCCAAUGGUUAGACGGGGUUUGUCCCUUUAAGAGCUACAGAGCCCAGAUUGUCUCUUAAAUUGACUUUAAAGUUGAGCUAAGAUGCAUUGGUGGACUGUUUCCCCUGGAUACCUGCGGUGUUCUUUGGGUCAUUUGAUAUGGUAAAACCGGUUGAUUUUCAUAGGAGUUAUGUGAAUGGAAUUUCUGCAAAACCGGGCUAGUGAUAAAUUGAUAGAGCUCUUAUAUUUGUUUGGAUGACGACUCCAAAGGGCACUGCUUUUUUACCGAGGUUUGGUUCUAUCAUAACCAUUGAAAUUUACAGCUUGGAAAACACUAACUUUGCUGGAAGCAUUUGAAGCGGGGAGUGUUCAGAGUACUUGGACUAAUGGUAACUUAACAGAGGAACAUAAAUCCUUUGAAUAUUAGAGAAACUCGUUUCAAAAAAUCUGUUGAAACUGAAGCAAAUCUCUUUCAUUAACAUUUAACAAACCAAGCAGUUUUGUAUAUUUUUAAUCUGAUGACAGUUCAACCUAUUUACAAAUCUGAUGAAUGGAGAGAAAUGUAAGCUUUAUAGUAACUAUAACAAUAGCUUUCACCAGAUGGUAUAAUGUUUGAUCUCUAAUAGGGUGUGUGUCUUGUGUCAUAUGUUUUAUUAAAAUACAACCUGCGUCAACACCAUUUGAAUUUGAGGUGUUAAAAAUAAAACAUUCCAUCGUGUUUUAUUAUAAACCAGAGUUUAAAACAACAUAUCCAUGUAACAUUUUAUGACAUUUUUUCUAAGAGGAAAUGUGGCCUGUUUUGACCUAUCUGCAGUUCACUUUUUGUUUUUUUGCCAGUGUUGUCCUGCUUGGUAUCCGGGACAGUCUCUAAUUCCUGACGAAGAACUUGAUACUGACGUUGGUAUGCAGCAGCCAGCCCUCCAUAACACUACCUAUCCUAAAUGCAGGGUUAAUGCCGAACCUACUGUGCAAGAAAUGAUUUACUGAUGAGGUUUCAAAGAAAACCACAUUAAUUUGGAUGUCUGUUACCUUGAAGUGAUCAUUUUAAGAGUAGUAGCUUCUUCCCUAGGUAUAAAAAGACUAUUUUCUUCUUUUGGUGUAUUUCAUCCUGUGUUGAGCAAUCAUUUGUGAAAUGAAAAAGCAAAAAAACUCCCCCCAAUUUAGGAUUUAUAAAUGGGAAGAUGGAGGUGAAGUCUGGCCUAAUUCAUAACCCAGUAUGCAUUAUCUCAUACAUUGUGUUGACCUUGUUGAAAAUCUUUUUCAAAUAUCAGCAUUCUAUAUGUAGAACUAAAGUGUUUAAAACUAGAAACAUUAAUUGUUGUUUUGUUAAUUUCAUGUUUGUGUUCAGAAAGCAAUACCCAGGAUCCCUUCAAUUUUUGUUGGACUUAAAUAAAACCAUUUAAAUUAUUUUUGUGAUUAUUGUUUUAUUAAAAUGACAGUAGCCCCUAAAUAACUUUGAUUAACCUGUUGACUUGGGACAAUUUAUGUUCAAUUCACAUUUUUCACGAUAUAGCUGGGCUUUCACUAGGCAAUAAAUGGGGGUGGGGGGGGAACCCGCCGAACAAACCACAAACAACUGUUUUGAACUCACAGUGUUUUCCCAGAGGGGUUCAAGGCCAGGUACUGGGAAGACCAGGGGAAGAAUUCAGAGUCAAGGAUUGAUAGGGGUGAUUAGGAGGAAUGAAAGGAUGCAGGAGCUUGGAGGGAAAAAAAAGAGCAUUUGAACACCAAUAUUUGGGUGAGAAAGAGAGGGAAAGAUAAAGCUGAAGAUAACCUGAAAGGU